GGCCCAAGCAGUUCGGAAUCGGUGGUGCGUUGCCACCAAAGAAGGAUCUGACUAGGUUCGUGAAAUGGCCUCAGGUGGUUCGUAUCCAAAGGAAGAGGAGGAUUCUCAAGCAGAGGUUGAAGGUCCCUCCUGCUCUCAACCAGUUCUCCAAAACCCUGGACAAAAACCUCGGUCAGUGUCACUAUGCUUUAUAACCUAAUUUCCUAUAUUUUUGAAGUGUUUUUCUAAUAAGUGCUGUAUUUCGUGAACAAUUAGUUAAAUAUUUUUUAUUACCUGUCCACUCUAUUUGUAGGUGUUCCUCUUGAUAAUCAAAUACUAUUGAAAUAUAGAUCAUUUUUUGCCUAUGGGAAUCAAUUGCUAUUGAAAUAAAGAUCACUUUUUUCCUAUGGAACUGACCUCUAUAUUCAUUACGCUCGAUUUGGGCUCAUUUCGUUUUAACACCUGUCUUUCGUCGAGCUCUUUUUGCAUAUAAAAAGUAACUAUGAGCUGUUAGCUUUAUUCUCCCUCUGUGUGGGUGUGUAUGUGUUUAGGGAUACAUUUCCAGUCUUAAUGUCUUAAAUACUGCAUGUUUUCAGUUUGAACUUUCACCGGAAGUGGUGGCAUAAUUGGCAAAGAGGAAUUAUGAUAAAUGGAGUGUUUUGCACUAUAACGUGUUUCCAUAUAGGCUUGACCUAGCCUCAUUGUAAAAGACUGUUGAAUGAGUGGGUGUUUGUUCUUGGCUUAUGGAUUCUUAUGAUUCCGAUAAUGUAUCUUACUCUCAGAGAGAGUUUACAAACCCCUCAACUUUUGCUAUAUGAGCAAAAUGGAGAACACCUCUGGGCAUCACACCCUGACAACUAUUAGCUUAUUAUUGUUUGGUAACCAAGUAGCUGAAUGAGCUACUAUUGCCUCCAUUUGGAAUACUUUUAAAAACUUCUUUUUGAGAAGGAGAAUCAGUUUAGACAUUACCAUAAUAUUUUGUUGGAAUUCCUCAUCGGAUAGUACAUAUUGUGUAUUCUUAGGUCUAUACCCUGUGGAUGUUGUUUCUUUUGUAAAAUGUUAGAUUUGACUUGCACCACUUCAAAAAAAGUUAAUUGUCAUUAACUAUUAACUUUUGUUUUCAGCAUGUUGAACUUUGCUUUUGAGAAACUACUUUUUCUGGAAUGUCUUCCGUUAUUAUCAAAUAUACCUUUUUGUAAUCAUUCUUACAAGGCUAAGCUGUGACAUAAUACUUGGUCAUUAUGUGUCUUGCCACUUCUCUAGUAUGCCACAAUGGAGAAUAUCAUUCAUCAGCUCUCUACUCAACCUUUUGUAUUGUUUUACUUGCAAUGUGGUAUUUUAUUUCAUUGAGACUGAAUUGAAUUAUCUUUAUUGCCUUUGUCCAUUGAAUAUGCAGCGACCAACCUGUUCAAGAUGCUUCUCAAGUACAGGCCUGAGGACAAAGCUGCAAAGAAGGAGCGUCUUGUGAAAAGGGCUCAAGCUGAAGCUGAAGGAAAAACUCCCGAAACAAAGAAACCCAUCA
rnacentral:lncRNA from 1 species